rnacentral:rRNA from 1 species
CCCGGGCCUUGUACACACCGCCCGUCACACCAUGAGAGUCUGCAACACCCGAAGCCGGUGGCCCAACCUUUUAGGAGGGAGCCGUCGAAGGUGGGGUCGGCGAUUGGGGUG